rnacentral:rRNA from 1 species
GAUGAACGCUGGCGGCGUGCCUAAUACAUGCAAGUCGAGCGAACAGACGAGGAGCUUGCUCCUCUGACGUUAGCAGCGGACGGGUGAGUAACACGUGGAUAACCUACCUAUAAGACUGGGAUAACUUCGGGAAACCGGAGCUAAUACCGGAUAAUAUAUUGAACCGCAUGGUUCAAUAGUGAAAGACGGUUUUGCUGUCACUUAUAGAUGGAUCCGCGCCGCAUUAGCUAGUUGGUAAGGUAACGGCUUACCAAGGCAACGAUGCGUAGCCGACCUGAGAGGGUGAUCGGCCACACUGGAACAGAGACACGGCCCAGACUCCUACGGGAGGCAGCAGUAGGGAAUCUUCCGCAAUGGGCGAAAGCCGGACGGAGCAACGCCGCGUGAGCGAUGAAGGUCUUCGGAUCGGAAAACGCUGUUAGUAGGGAAGAACAAAUGUGUAAGUAGCUAUGCACGUCUUGACGGUACCUGAUCAGAAAGCCACGGCUAACUACGUG